CUCCUGCAAAGUCCCCCCGCACAAGAGGAGCCCUCGUCCAAGGCAACUGCUCCGCCAAUCCAAGCUCUGCUGAUGGAGUAAAUUAAGCGUCCUGCAGUCAUCCCACGGCGGGACAAAGAACUGUGAUGAGGGUACUACGCCGCAGCACGCUGCGAUCGUACCACGUGCUGUAUCUCGUCGCUCAGCCGCACAGCUCAAGAAGAUGUCCAGUAGGAGCACGGGGUCAGAACGUUACAAGUGGACUGCAUCACGCGGAAUCGGACACCGCUCACGGUUUUGAGUGUUUCUCAAAAGGUAAAGGCUCAGCCUUGCAAAAUGUUUCCUUCUCACGCCACUGCUGGCAGCAGCGCCUCCACUAAAGGGAGCUUUAGAGAGCCCUUGUACAGGCGAGUUGACCUCCUCCACGCUGCCCAGGCGUCUCGGAAGAGGUGUAAGUGACCCACACUUUACUCCCACCACACGAGAGAUGACGACCGACGAACCGCGGUGUACCGAUUUUUUUUUCAGCUGUGUGGACAGAAGUGGGGAGAUUCAAGAAAGGUGCCCGUUGCUUUAACUGUCGCGCCAGGAAAUCGAAUCGAACGGACACGACAGGUGAAUGGAGCGACCACUAGUGGCUGUGACAGGGGUCACGUGGACCCACGUGGGCCCAUUAUACGCAACAUACCGAAAACAAACAUCAAUUCUUACAAAUACGAUUCGUUUGCAUGUGGAGCGAGCGUAAGAGACGAUAAUAAUCUAUGAAUCGUUAUAUCUACAAUCGCUAUUGAUAAAGUACUGCAACGGUACUAUGAUCGGGACUUUCAUUCUCACUCGCCUACUUUUCUCAACUGUGCUCGGCUGGCUUUGAGCAGGGAUUAUCGGCAUAAGGCACUACCACUAAAGUACAAAUUACGCUUAUCCAUAAUAAUCCUAUAUUAUUGUACCCUAAAUUACCGUCACCAUAGAGUAUGAACACGUUGGUAAAAAAUGACUGAUGAACAAAGUAAAGUGACAGACGUGACGUGCCAAAAUGUGAUUCCCGGAACGUUCCAGACUCUUAAUGUUUACAUUAAUCACUGCCCAUGAGUCAUAUCCACUGCUUGACAAGACAGAUACACGGCGGAUGGUGAAAUGCCUCAUUCUGCUUGAGAAAUGGCCACGUGUUCGCCAACGCAUGAGUCACGCCUAAUAUGCUUAUCCACAACGCCUCUUCUAAAAUAGUAUUAAUCGAUUCAUCUGUAUGGCGUACAGCGAGCUCUACGUCAAUGCGGUCAUCUGAGAGGACUUUACACCACAUUUAAACGAAUGCCCGACAGACAGGGCUGGCAGGAGGGCGAAGCCAUGGUAGACCUUCUGCCUGCCAUCUCUCACAGCCCCGCUUAGCAUCGAUCCACCCAGCACCUGGCGACCACGAGCUGUCUGAACCGCACCAUCCCGGCAAGGAGGUGUCCCUCUCGGACGCCGUUUAACGUGCGGCCUUCGGCUGCCACUCCGUCAAUAUCCUUGACCGUCGACCAUUAUCCAUUAGAGCCGUGACGUGUUCCUAUUUUAAAAUAUACAAAUACUUUCCCCCUCCCUGUCUCCCCUUCC